GGCGGCGUGCCUAACACAUGCAAGUCGAGCGAGGAGAUCCUUCGGGAUGAUCCUAGCGGCGGACGGGUGAGUAACACGUGGGCAACCUGCCUUAUAGAGAGGAAUAGCCUUCCGAAAGGGAGAUUAAUACCUCAUAACAUUGCAGUUUCGCAUGGAACAGCAAUUAAAGGAGCAAUCCGCUAUGAGAUGGGCCCGCGGCGCAUUAGCUAGUUGGUGAGGUAACGGCUCACCAGGGCGACGAUGCGUAGCCGACCUGAGAGGGUGAUCGGCCACAUUGGGACUGAGACACGGCCCAGACUCCUACGGGAGGCAGCAGUGGGGAAUAUUGCACAAUGGGGGAAACCCUGAUGCAAGCAACGCCGCGUGAGUGAUGACGGCCUUCGGGUUGUAAAGCUCUGUCUUCAGGGACGAUAAUGACGGUACCUGAGGAGGAAGCCACGGCUAACUACGUGCCAGCAGCGGC
rnacentral:rRNA from 1 species